UCAGGAACCCAUUCCUCAUUCCUAGAACCCUAUCUCUUCUCCCCUCUGCCCGCCGCCGCCGCCACUUCGCGACUCCGCCUCGGCGCGUCCGCGCCCCCACCCAUCGCCGCGCGGCUGCGCGCGCGCCGCGAGUCCUCUCCGUCCUCCCUUCUUCCCUCCCAGCCCCGCCUACUCGCUCGAUUCCAUCGGCACCAGCUCGUCGAUUGCUUCGCCCGCCCCCAUCCUACCCACGCGUUUGCCCGCCGCAUUGAAGGUCGGAGAUGGGGAAGGCGACGCGGCGGUCUCCGCCUCCCCCACGGCCGCGGGGAAGAAGGUCUGGGAGUGGGCGUCCCUGGUGACCAGGUCCUUCUUCGUCGCUAAGUUGCACCUGCUCCCGGCCAGCGUGCUGCUCGUCGCCUUUGCGUGCCACGCGGCUGGAAGCAGCCCUCCAGGUGGGAGGUGUGGCUUGCCAUCCCUGCAUUCAAGUUCAUCAACGCCGCCUACACGCAGAUGCGAAAUUGCAGCAUGUAUGUUUUACAUCUGAAAGUUGUAAGCUUGUGGCGGUGUGUCCGAUUCUGGAAUCAAGCCGUGUCUGUUCUUGCUUGCUGUCGUAGGGCUUCCUCACGGAGGGAUUGCAGAAGACGCCGGCUGGGCUACAACAAGGGCAGCAAAUUGAUAGUUGUGGGACCCUUGUAGCAGGUGUGGUUUGUCAUCUCAUCUCUUGAUCAGGUACAAAAAUACAAUGGGAUGGAGCUGCCAGAAAGUGUCAUCUUGCUUUAGUUUACCUGCCUUAAAGUUAUACUGAGCUUGAUUACAAGUCCUCAAGCUGAUGUGGUACAAAAAUACAACACAAUGGUGAAUGGAGUGCUGGUGAUCUUCAUGUAGAGAGGGAUGCUGAGAUACUUAACUUAUUCAACUUCAAAGGUGAACUGAAGUUUAGUUUUCUGAACCUAGCAUUGUCUUGAUCUGUAUGUAACUUUUGAAGACUAGACAUGAGUCAUAUACAAGGACCUGUAGAUCUGAAAAGUUAUAUAUAUCUUGUAGUCAUUUAUUCAUUCUAAUCCAAUAGCUUGCUGGAUGACAAGUCUGAUAUAUGUAUAUGAUGGACAUGUAUAUGGAACUAGCAUACAAACUGAAUUUAAUGUAUGUAGUUCCGUAUGUGUAAUUUUUUUA